GGAGGUCCAGCCUGCCCAGUGACUUUGUUCAACGGCCGCGGUAUCCUAACCGUGCGAAGGUAGCGUAAUCACUUGUUCUUUAAAUGAGGACUAGUAUGAAUGGCCCCACGAGGGCUGCACUGUCUCCUUUUUCUAAUCAAUGAAACUAAUCUCCCCGUGAAGAAGCGGGAAUUAUCCUAUAAGACGAGAAGACCCUAUGGAGCUUUAAACAAUUGAAACAUUUGCUUUUCUCCUAACUCCUCCCGAGCUCUUUAUUUUUAUUUAAGCAUUAUUAUUUCUAGUUUUAGGUUGGGGUGACCACGGAGCAAAACUAAACCUCCAUGAAGAAAUGAAUAUUUUUAAGCCACAAACUACUUUUUUAAGCAUCAACAAAUUGACCUUCAUUGACCCAAUAUAUUGAUCAACGAACCAAGUUACCCUAGGGAUAACAGCGCAAUCUACUUCAAGAGCUCAUAUCGACAAGUAGGUUUACGACCUCGAUGUUGGAUCAGGGUAUCCUAGUGGUGCAGCCGCUACUAAUGGUUCGUUUGUUCAACGAUUAAAACCCU
rnacentral:rRNA from 1 species